rnacentral:ncRNA from 1 species
AUCUUCAGGGAUCGGUGAAAUUCCGUACCGGCGGUCAAAGUCCGCGAGCGGGGAAACCCGUUGAUUCGGUGAAAUUCCGAAGCCGACAGUAAAGUCUGGAUGAAAGAAGGCG